UUUAAUUUUUGCUUAUUUGUUGGGUUAUUUGGAAUGUUCCCUUCUUUCUGGAUCUCACCCACUAAAUAUAAUUGUGGGAGGUGAAAGUGGGGUUGUUUACACUGAUUCAUCUUUAAAUUCCCUUCUGUCUCUGAUAAGCCCUGUCUGUAAUUCACAUAAUAUUACAUUGACAAAAGGCCCCUUGACAGGGAGUUGUUGAGAUUGUUGGGAAGUAGUAUAAAUGGUUUUAUCUUCUUUUUUUUUUUUUUUUUUUUUUUUUUGGUGGAGGGGAGAAUACCAGAUGUUUCAAGGCCAUAGUUUUGGAACCAAAAGCUCAGAAGUGCUCUGAAAAGCACAGAUGGCCAAAUCUACCCCCAGGAGAUUCAGAAUAUGCUUACUGUGAUUUGUAAAUUAAAAGCAGGAGUUGCUGGGGGCUGUGUGCUGGAUUAAACCUCCCAGUGGGUGCAUGGGUUGGCUGUUUCAAGUGGAGAGACCCUGUCUGGAUCCUGAAUCCUAAAAUGAGGAGACAUGUCCCAGGCUAGCCCACCCAGGCCAUCAGGAGGAAUACCAAAGGAGACCACCUGGGACCGCAACAAGACAGGACUAGAAUGACUUCAGGAACCUACCAAGUCACUGGUGGAUGGGUGGGGAAGGAUAGAAAAGGGACUUGACCUGGAGCCCCUGGUGGGGGGUCCACUUUCCUGCCUGUCUCUCGAUUCAUACCAAUUGAUACUGCAUCUGCUAAUCUCAACCUAACCAAUGCAACUAGCAGCACCUCAGCAUGCUUCACUUCGGAUUGUGUCCAGACAAGUCAGGUAUGGAAUGUCAACCCUCCAGCUUCAUUACUCUGUCACCAAGUUCCAGAUGCUACCAUGAUGCCAACCUGACUUCCCUGGGCAGACGACCCCAACCAUAUGUCCUGGAGCCCCAUCACCUCAGAGCCUCACUCCACUAGGGAAAAAGAGAGACAGGCUGGGAGUAUGGACAGACCUGCCAAUACCCAUGCUCAGUGGAGAAGCAGUUAUAGAAGCCAGAUCUUCCACCUUCUAUACCCCAUAGUGAUCCUGGCUUCAUACUCCCAGAAGGAUAAUGAAUAGGAAAGCUUCCAGUGGAGGGGAUGGGAUAUGUAACUCUGGUGGUGGGAAUUGUACCCCUCUUAU